GACGAACGCUGGCGGCGUGCUUAACACAUGCAAGUCGAACGGAAAGGCCCUGCUUUUGUGGGGUGCUCGAGUGGCGAACGGGUGAGUAACACGUGAGUAACCUGCCCUUGACUUUGGGAUAACUUCAGGAAACUGGGGCUAAUACCGGAUAGGAGCUCCUGCUGCAUGGUGGGGGUUGGAAAGUUUCGGCGGUUGGGGAUGGACUCGCGGCUUAUCAGCUUGUUGGUGGGGUAGUGGCUUACCAAGGCUUUGACGGGUAGCCGGCCUGAGAGGGUGACCGGCCACAUUGGGACUGAGAUACGGCCCAGACUCCUACGGGAGGCAGCAGUGGGGAAUAUUGCACAAUGGGCGGAAGCCUGAUGCAGCAACGCCGCGUGCGGGAUGACGGCCUUCGGGUUGUAAACCGCUUUCGCCUGUGACGAAGCGUGAGUGACGGUAAUGGGUAAAGAAGCACCGGCUAACUACGUGCCAGCAGCCGCGGUGAUACGUAGGGUGCGAGCGUUGUCCGGAUUUAUUGGGCGUAAAGGGCUCGUAGGUGGUUGAUCGCGUCGGAAGUGUAAUCUUGGGGCUUAACCCUGAGCGUGCUUUCGAUACGGGUUGACUUGAGGAAGGUAGGGGAGAAAUGGAAUUCCUGGUGGAGCGGUGGAAUGCGCAGAUAUCAGGAGGAACACCAGUGGCGAAGGCGGUUCUCUGGGCCUUUCCUGACGCUGAGGAGCGAAAGCGUGGGGAGCGAACAGGCUUAGAUACCCUGGUAGUCCACGCUGUAAACGGUGGGUACUAGGUGUGGGGUCCAUUCCACGGGUUCCGUGCCGUAGCUAACGCUUUAAGUACCCCGCCUGGGGAGUACGGCCGCAAGGCUAAAACUCAAAGGAAUUGACGGGGCCCCGCACAAGCGGCGGAGCAUGCGGAUUAAUUCGAUGCAACGCGUAGAACCUUACCUGGGUUUGACAUGGAUCGGGAGUGCUCAGAGAUGGGUGUGCCUCUUUUGGGGUCGGUUCACAGGUGGUGCAUGCCUGUCGUCAGCUCGUGUCGUGAGAUGUUGGGUUAAGUCCCGCAACGAGCGCAACCCUUGUUCACUGUUGCCAGCACGUUAUGGUGGGGACUCAGUGGAGACCGCCGGGGUCAACUCGGAGGAAGGUGGGGAUGACGUCAAGUCAUCAUGCCCCUUAUGUCCAGGGCUUCACGCAUGCUACAAUGGCUGGUACAGAGAGUGGCGAGCCUGUGAGGGUGAGCGAAUCUCGGAAAGCCGGUCUCAGUUCGGAUUGGGGUCUGCAACUCGACCUCAUGAAGUCGGAGUCGCUAGUAAUCGCAGAUCAGCAACGCUGCGGUGAAUACGUUCCCGGG
rnacentral:rRNA from 1 species